rnacentral:rRNA from 1 species
GGGUCAGUAGGUUGGUCGUGCCACCGGUACGUACUGGUCUCACUGAUCCCUCCUUCCUGAAGAACCGUAAUGCCAUUAAUUUGGUGUUGCGGGGAAACAGGACUGUUACUUUGAAAAAAUUAGAGUGUUUAAAGCAAGCUAACGCUUGAAUACAUUAGCAUGGAAUAAUGAAAUAGGACGAUCGAUCCUGUUUUGUUGGUUUCUAGGAUUGACGUA